GCGGGGAUGCCGGAGCGGUCAAACGGACUGCGUUAAGGCCGCAGUGGCUUAGUGCCUGCGAAGGUUCGAAUCCUUCUCCCCGCA
rfam:Candidatus Pacearchaeota archaeon CG1_02_35_32 cg1_0.2_scaffold_13_c, whole genome shotgun sequence.